GCUGAACUUAAGCAUAUCACUAAGCGGAGGAAAAGAAACUACCAGGCUAGCCAC
rnacentral:rRNA from 1 species